rnacentral:rRNA from 1 species
UAGGGAAUCUUCCGCAAUGGACGCAAGUCUGACGGAGCAACGCCGCGUGAGUGAAGAAGGAUUUCGGUUCGUAAAACUCUGUUGUUAGAGAAGAACAGCGCAUAGAGUAACUGUUAUGCGUGUGACGGUAUCUAACCAGAAAGCCACGGCUAACUACGUGCCAGCAGCCGCGGUAAUACGUAGGUGGCAAGCGUUGUCCGGAUUUAUUGGGAGUAAAGCGAGCGCAGGCGGUCAAUUAAGUCUGAUGUGAAAGCCCCCGGCUCAACCGGGGAGGGUCAUUGGAAACUGGUUGACUUGAGUGCAGAAGAGGAGAGUGGAAUUCCAUGUGUAGCGGUGAAAUGCGUAGAUAUAUGGAGGAACACCAGUGGCGAAGGCGACUCUCUGGUCUGUAACUGACGCUGAGGUUCGAAAGCGUGGGUAGCAAACAGG